rnacentral:lncRNA from 1 species
GGAGAUGCUGACGUACAGCUAAAUCCAAAGAAAAAGAUAUGGGAACAAGUGCAACCAGAUUUCCGAGUAGAU